CAGCCGCCGCGGGAAUACGAAGGGGGCUAGCGUUGCUCGGAAUGACUGGGCGUAAAGGGCGCGUAGGUGGUUAUGUAAGUGAGAUGUGAAAUCCCCGGGCUCAACCUGUGAACUGCAUCUUAUACUGCGUAGCUGGAGUGCAGUAGAGGGUAGUGGAAUUUCCGGUGUAGCGGUGAAAUGCGUAGAUAUGCGGAGGAACACCGAUGGCGAAGGCAGCCCCCUGGGCCAAUACUGACGCUCAUGCACGAAAGCGUGGGGAGCAAACAGGAUUAGAUACCCGCGUAGUCCCUGUCUCUUAUAC
rnacentral:rRNA from 1 species